UGGCGAACGGGUGAGUAACACGUGGGUGAUCUGCCCUGCACUUCGGGAUAAGCCUGGGAAACUGGGUCUAAUACCGGAUAGGAGCCAUUUUUAGUGUGAUGGUUGGAAAGUUUUUUCGGUGUAGGAUGAGCUCGCGGCCUGUCAGCUUGUUGGUGGGGUAAUGGCCUACCAAGGCGUCGACGGGUAGCCGGCCUGAGAGGGUGUACGGCCACAUUGGGACUGAGAUACGGCCCAG
rnacentral:rRNA from 1 species